UUCCGGUUGAUCCUGCCGGACCUAACUGCUAUCAGAGCGGGGCUAAGCCAUGCGAGUCGAACGUCUUCCGACUAUGUGGGAGGCGUGGCAUACGGCUCAGUAACACGUGGUUAACCUACCCUGAAGACGUGGAUAACCCCGGGAAACUGGGAUUAAUACGCGAUAGACCAUAAUUCCUGGAAUGGGUCUUGGUUGAAAGGAGUGAGAUGACAUGUUUUUUUAUUUGCUUCAGGAUGGGACUGCGGCCGAUCAGGUUGUUGGUGGGGUAAUGGCCCACCAAGCCUAUGACCGGUACGGGCUUUGAGAGAAGGAGCCCGGAGAUGGACACUGAGACAAGGAUCCAGGCCCUACGGGGCGCAGCAGGCGCGAAAACUUCGCAAUGUGCGAAAGCGCGACGAGGCUACUCUGAGUGUCAUCCGCUGAGGAUGACUUUUCCUAGGUCUAAACAGUCUAGGGAAUAAGGGGAGGGCAAGCUUGGUGUCAGCCGCCGCGGUAAUACCAGCUCCUCGAGUGGUUAGGGCGUUUAUUGGGCCUAAAGCAUCCGUAGCCGGCUCUGCAGGUCCCCUGUUAAAUCCAACGGCUCAACCGUUGAUCUGCUGGGGAUACCACAGAGCUAGGAGGCGGGAGAGGCGGACGGUACUCCGUGGGUAGGGGUAAAAUCCUUUGAUCCACGGAAGACCACCAGUGGCGAAGGCGGUCCGCUAGAACGCGCUCGACGGUGAGGGAUGAAAGCUGGGGGAGCAAACCGGAUUAGAUACCUGGGUAGUCCCAGCUGUAGACAAUGCGAGCUAGGUGACGGAGUGGCCAAGAGCCAUUCCGGUGCCGCAGGGAAGCCGUUAAGCUCGCCGCCUGGGGAGUACGGUCGCAAGACUGAAACUUAAAGGAAUUGGCGGGGGAGCACCACAAGGGGUGAAGCCUGCGGUUCAAUUGGACUCAACGCCGGGA
rnacentral:rRNA from 1 species